rnacentral:rRNA from 1 species
GACAGAGGUGCCGAGCGUUAGGCGGAAUCACUGGGCUUAAAGCGUGUGUAGGCGGGCGGGCAAGUACCUUGUGAAAUCCCAACGGGCUCAACCGUGGAACGGCUGGGUAUACUGCCUGUCUUGAGCCAACUAGGGGCGAGCGGAACAGACGGUGGAGCGGUGAAAUGCGUAGAUAUCGUCUGGAACGCCAAAGGUGAAAACAGCUCGCUGGGGUUGUGCUGACGCUGAGACACGAAAGCCAGGGGAGCGAACGGG